ACAAGAAAUAGUGGGCAUCAGUCACAGUUGUGAGAAGUAGGGGACUCUGUGGCUCCCCCCUGAGAAAGAGAAGGAACACCAAAGUCUAUCAGAAGAACUGGGGGUCUCUUCUCAGGCUGAAGUCACAAACUGGACCCCUACUUCUAUAGCCAGCCAAUGGAUGUUUUGCCCACAUGACCCGCCAAAAUAUACUUUUUUCCAAAAAAUAUUUUAAUUAAGAAAUUUCACUAAGUAUCUGAAAUGUCUUCUCUCAAGUUCUAUAUCAUUUGGGCUCAUUUUUGUCACCCAAGCCUAAAGUCUGGGCAAAUGUGCAGCUCCAUGGCCCACUGCCUGCCUUUCUCCUUUACAUCACUGGCUAUCACCUGCUGGGCUGCUUGGGGCUUUUGAAUUUUCAGCCCCUGUCUGCAGGCUCUUCCAACUCCUACAGGCUCUCCCCCUACUCCAAACUGCUCUGGCUUCCACAGCAACCAGGUGGGCUAAGUGGGCCAUGACAGGAGGCUGAGCAGGGCACCUCACAGGGAAUGAAAGCCCCAGACCUUUGGACCAGGGCUGCUACAUCAGAGUGGGAGGCUGGGCAGCGAGGACCCUCUGCCCCCAUCUUUCUGUCUUCCCAGGGUGGCUGCCCCUGUGUUCAGGAGAGAUACCUGAAUAUCCAGUCCCCAGUGGAUGGCACAGCUGCAUUGUUGCCUCACCCCACAGCAGGCAAGGAAUCAGAACUGUUUCAAGCUGACUCUAGGAGAGCUACUGAGGAUGCUGCAGAGGCAGCCAUGGGGUCCCCCUCAUCUCUGGAAAUUUCAUACAGCAUGCUUUUAGGCUGGCUGAUCUCCACCAGAAAAACACAAGGAGCAAGACUGAAGGAGAAACACCCCAUCCUAAUUGUUCUGGAUCUCAAUCCUCUCCUUCUUCUGCUAGUGUUGCCUCCUAGAGGCCAGGAUGGCCUUUCCAGUGUGGGCAGGGGUGAGGGGGGAUCCGGGGCAGAAGGUGAAGCUGAGUCCCAGCAGCAGAGGGUCGUUCCCAUGGACUCCACUCACCGAGAGCAAGGAUUCCCGCAGCUUCUCCACAAAGUUCUCCGGAGGCAGGAUUCCCAGGGCAGGUCUGUUGAUGAAUGUGCUCUGCAAAGAGGUCCAGAGACAAAUAGUGACUUCUCAGGCCUGACCCAGCUCCAGGUCCACCAACCACACUGUUCACAGGGAUGAGUCCAAUAGGCUGAUGGUGUCAUAUCCAUGCUGGAAUGAUGUGUAAUCCCGCACUUUUAGAGAAAUCCACUAGAACUGCUUUGGAUUUUAAGAAGAAAUGCCAAUUUGUUGGUUGUGAUAUUGCACUAUAAUUAUACAAGAUGCUGCCUUUGGGGGAAACGGGGUGAAAGGUACAUGGGACCUCUCUGUACUAUUUUUGCAAUUUCCUGUAAAUCUGUAAUUAAA